CGGUGUCGGCCGGGAGCUGCGCUGUGCGCUGCGCGGUGCCGCUAACAGCCCAGCUCCCGGAGCUGCUUCAGGCCGCCAUGAGCAGGGCUGCCCGGCCGCCGUCCCUCGGCAGCUCGGAGGGCGAAGAGCCGCUCAGCCCUUCCAGCUGCUCCCUCCCUUCUUCCCGGCCCGGCUUCCGCGGGGGUGAGGAGGAGGAAGAGGAGGCGGAGGAAGAGGAGGGGCCCGGUUCGCUCUCGAGUACGGCCUCCCAGAGUAGACUGAGCAGGAAGGAUGAUGACUCUGAAAUAACAGAAGCAAACAAGCCGUCUCCUUUGAAAGAUAAUCUGUCACCAUGGGAAGAAUGGUUCAUUGGAAAAGAGAAGGAACUGCGUGCCCGCUUACAAGCUAGAGCUGCAGAGGAGAUGAAUAUACAGCUUGAGAAAGUGAAGCAAGAGGAAGAGUUUGAGAGAAGGAAAAGGACAGCUGAAAAGAAACUCAGAGAAUGGAUGCAGAAAAAAAGAGAAGAGGGGAGGAAGGAAAGAGAACAAAAACUGAACAAAGAAAUGGCAGAGAAAGCCGCAAGGGAACUAGAAAAAAAGCAGUUACAAGAAAAGGCUGAAGUGAAGUAUAAUGAAUGGUUAAAGAAGAAGAGAGCUGAAGAGUCAGAAAAGAAGAAGAAAGAGAAGGAAAAAGAAAAAGAAAGGCAAGCGGAGCUGCAGGAGAAGAAAGAGAGGGCAGAGAAGAUCUUUAAUGAAUGGCUACGUAAUGCUAGAAAUAAACCACGCCCUGUAUUAAAUGGUUAUGGCUUUCCACAUGGGAAGUCUACAGGGCGUCCUGAUGGAAAUUCAUAUCCAGCUCCAGGAUAUUGCAACCCCAUUCCUUGGAAACCAUUAUACAUUCCUCCUCCAAAGGAAGAAAAUGCUCUUACCGUAAAGAACAGGCUGUGUUCGCUGGAAGAAGCCAGAUUAUGGUGACACAGUAACGCAGCUUGCAUCACAGAAGUCCUGUCAUACUGGGAAGUGUAGUCAUGGAGACAUUUGGCAGAGCACAGAAAUGGGUUUGAGGCAGACUUCAGGAGGUACUGUGAGAAAGUAAUCCAAAGUAAAGAUUUUAACACGUACAGAGUGGUAAUAUCUCUGCUGAAAGAAUUUCAGUGUUUUAUUUGUUCUUCCUUCCUUUACUUGAAAAGCUUAAAGAAUAUCUCUUUUAACCCGGAGAUCAGUCUUAUAGCUGCCAAACUACAGCUAUAGGUUUUGGAACUAAAAAUUGUAAGGAGGAGGCCAUCUCAAGAGAGUGGUUUUUCUUUGUCCUUAUGUUACACGGUUGAGAUGGAUUACACAAGAUCCAAAUACAUCACAACCACCCUUACCAUCUAGAUUCUUCCAAACAAUUGAACAAACUCCUGUAAUCUUCAGUGCAGCCAAGAAUUCACCCUCACUUGAGGUCCUUAAGCCCUUUCUGUCCUUUGUAUAUGCCGUCUUGCUUUCUCUCUGACCGUAAAUUCCCCAGUCUAUGCUUAUGGGCUUUCUACAUCCAUCACAAAAAUGCAGCCAUUCCUGUUCAGCAGCUUUGCAGCAGUGUUACAUAAACAAAUUAAGAGAAACAUGGGAAUGGAGUAUCAAAUAUCAUAGGUGACUUUAGAACUCUUUUUUUUUUUUUUUUUCUUUUUUCUUUAACAUAUUUUGACACGUGAAAUUACAACAUACUGUUUGCAUGUGCUCUUUCUUCAAACCCAGGUUUUAUUUUGGACAAACAGAGCUGUAAGAAUUGUUUGAGUGCUUGCAAGUACAUGUUGGGAGGUGCAGCUUGUAGCUUAUCACAACAGAAGCAAGUACAAUGAUUUCAAGCGUCUUUCACCUAUAGUUAAGACUAUUUUUGUCACUAAUUUAAGUAACGAAUAUGUGGAGGCCAGUGAAAUAAAGAUCACUAAUCAUGCUUUCCUGUUCUUUGCUUACCUUUCAUUCAUUAUCUCAUUAUCUAUUCUUUAACUAUAAUCUCAUUAUUUAAUAUUCCUUUAGCUAAACAUGUGCAAAAAGAAGUAUAUUUUUGCACGCUGCGUAACUACCUGUUUGGUUGGACACCUUAGAUAGUUUUGCCUUUCAGGGAGGCUGCCAUGAUAUUGUGAAAGUUCUUCUCAUUUGCUGCACCAUUUUGGUUACCUCUUCAGCCAUGUUCUCUGCUCCAGCUUUCACAUCUGUAUUUCUUACUGUGUAACAUCCAAAUUUAAGGUAACUCCAUAGCUAUGUGGAGAACUUCAAACUGAAAGGAAAAGAUUAAUGGUCAUUUAAUAACCUGUGGAGAAGACACUACUUUGGUUGUCUUCAUUGUUUACUAGUAGUUGAUAUAUGCGCAACAGGAAAAAUGAAGCAAUGGUAAUGAACUCAACUAAAUCAGGAGGUGUUUGGAAAUUCAGACGUGUUUUUGGUUUAGUGAAAGCCUGAAAAAGUAACAGAUCUAUGGGAAAAACAGAAAUGUGUGGACUGAGAGUGAGACUCCAUUACUCAUCUUUACUAAAAUACACUGGCAGAAGAUGAGGACCUACUUUUGUGGUCUGAUAAAGAAAUAAACUUUGUGUAUUCCUCUUAGUUCGUGUCUGUAAGCACAGGUUCUUGAAGGAAGUGAAGUUACGCCAAUAUGCUUUAGUUAAAGUCUGUCCCUCUGCAUCUACAAAAAUGAUGACAGGCCAUUUUUUAUUAACGGAGUGUCUGUGUGGGUCAAAUUGAGGUUUCUGAAAAGCUGUGCUGUAACAAACUCUUGUUGCCAUUCAGUGGAAUGAAUCAAAAUGUAUACAUAGUUAUGCAAUGUAAAUUACUAUCAAUUAUGGUAUUAUUAGUAAAAUUGCUUGGCUUUUACCUUCCCCUGGUUUUUUAUUAUUAUUAUUUUAUACUUAUUUUUUGAGCACUUAGCUGUAGGAUGAUCCGUAAAGUUUCACUGUAUGAAAAACUACUCAAGCAAUUCUAACACGCUGCACCAGAUCACUACAUCAGCGUGUCAGGGAAUGAAUGGAGAACGUUUACAUUUAAGGUAAACACUGAUGACAUUAGGAAAUAUUACUUUAAAAAUUAGUCACAUUGUUUAAGCUUCGUGUCCUCUUGAACUGAAAGUAGUUGAAGAAAUGAGGAUGUUGUUACUAAAUGGAAGAAUAUAGCAUUCUGGGUUGGAAACUAGUUUGUUUUAAUACUGGAUGAAGAGAUCGCUUCUUUUAGUGACUGCUAAGUUCAGAGGUGGAGUUACGUUUUCAUAUAAAUGGGCUCUGGAAAAAUGCUCACAGUUUGAAAGAAAUAUAGGCAGAAGAAAUACACUUUGUUUAGCAGCACAGGAGAGUCACUCUUUCGUAAAUGCAAAGGUGAGUCUGAAUGAAUAGUUUGGCUAAAACACAGUUAAUAUUUUCCAAGUAUCUGUGCACACAUAUAUUCUAUGGCGAGUGACUAUUUUAGGCUUCUUCUUAAUUAUAUCUCUUCACAGUGGAUGAUGAUUUCUAUUGCAAACUAUCCGAAAACUGAUGAUAACAUUUCUUUCUCAGAAUGAUGUCUCUCUUCAAGGAUUUGGUUCUGGUCAGUUUUAUGCUCCUUUGCAGUUGUACCCGCAAAGUUGUUAGACAAAUGUUGCCCUCCACUGGGAAAGGGAUAGAUGAUUUUAGCAGAAGAUCCUCCAGUUCUCCACUGUGUGUGGCCUAAAACCUUUCCUGCCAUAUGAAGAACUUUGGGAAGCAGCGGGCUCGUAAUACCCCUCAGAGUGCAUCUCCAAGUUGUCCCUGAGAGAUUUUAUCUUUGCCAGAAGUUCCUGAAACAGAGAUGACAAGAGAUUGAGUAGCGGCAUCAUUUUUGGACCCACUCACCAGCUCCAGCAGGCUGUCUGAAUACCUGUUCCUUGCUUGUUGUGGAGAUGUGAGGAAGAUGCAUUCUACCUCAGCUUUCUGAGACAUAGCACUGGAAAAGCACCAUCUGGAUUCCUCUGGUGUUGCAGUUGAUGUGGACUGGUUGCAAAGAAUCCAAAGAUAAUCGUGGAGUAUAAUAAGAGGUCUCAAAUAUGACCAGGCAGGUAAGAAGAGAAGAC